ensembl:rRNA 5S_rRNA 5S ribosomal RNA
GCCGGCAGCCAGCUCUCUGCAACUCUCACAUGUUCGCCCACUGAAGCUAAGCAGGGUUGCACCCGGUCAGUAGCUGAAUGGGAGACCAUGUGGAAAAAGCUAAGUUGCUGCCGUAA